UCAGUAGGAUUAUACAUGCAAGUAUCUGCCAACCAGUGAAAAUGCCCUUCUACUCGCUCGCACAAGCGAUCCCAAAGGAGCUGGUAUCAAGCACACUUUAAGUAGCUCAAAACACCUUGCCAAGCCACACCCCCACGGGAUACAGCAGUAAUAAAAAUUAAGCAAUAAACGAAAGUUUGACUAAGCCAUGCUGACAAAGGGUUGGUCAAUCUCGUGCCAGCCACCGCGGUCAUACGAUUAACCCUAAUUAAUGAUUAAACGGCGUAAAGUGUGGUUAAAACAAGUAUAAUAAUGAAGUUAAACUAGUUCUCAGCUGUAAAAAGCUAAAGGUCUAAGGUUAUUAAACAACUAACGUAAUUUCACUAUAAAUGAACCCACGAUAGCUAAGACACAAACUGGGAUUAGAUACCCCACUAUGCUUAGCCGUAAACUCUGAUAAUUAGUAACAAAAAUAUCCGCCAGAGAACUACAAGCCAAUGCUUAAAACUCAAAGGACUUGGCGGUGCUUUAUACCCCCUAGAGGAGCCUGUUACAUAAUCGAUAUACCCCGAUAAACCCCACCAUCACUUGCUAAAUCAGUCUAUAUACCGCCAUCUUCAGCAAACCCUUAAAAGGAACUAUAGUAAGCUUAAACGUACUCACAAAAACGUUAGGUCAAGGUGUAACCUAUGUGAUGGACCAUAAUGGGCUACAUUUUCUUUACAAGACCACCCACGGACUCUCAAAUGAAAUUAAUGAGAUAAAGGAGGAUUUAGUAGUAAGUCAGGAGUAGAGAGCCUGACUGAAUCUGGCUAUGAAGCACGCACACACCGCCCGUCACCCUCCUCAAGUAUUUUAGACCCAUAAUCAUAUUUAUAUAUAACAAAUAUGAGAGGAGACAAGUCGUAACAAGGUAAGCAUACUGGAAAGUGUGCUUGGAAUAUC
rnacentral:ncRNA from 1 species